rnacentral:rRNA from 1 species
ACCCAGACUCCUACGGGAGGCAGCAGUGGGGAAUAUUGGGCAAUGGGCGCAAGCCUGACCCAGCAACGCCGCGUGAAGGAAGAAGGCUUUCGGGUUGUAAACUUCUUUUCUCAGGGACGAAUAGAUGACGGUACCUGAGGAAUAAGCCACGGCUAACUACGUGCCAGCAGCCGCGGUAAUACGUAGGUGGCAAGCGUUAUCCGGAUUUACUGGGUGUAAAGGGCGUGUAGACGGGGACGCAAGUCAGAUGUGAAAACCACGGGCUCAACCCGUGGCCUGCAUUUGAAACUGUGUUUCUUGAGUACUGGAGAGGCAGACGGAAUUCCUAGUGUAGCGGUGAAAUGCGUAGAUAUUAGGAGGAACACCAGUGGCGAAGGCGACUUACUGGACUGUAACUGACGUUGAGGCACGAAAGUGUGGGGAGCAAACAGGAUUAGAUACCCUCGUA